UACGGAGGGGGCUAGCGUUGUUCGGAAUUACUGGGCGUAAAGCGCACGUAGGCGGCUUUGUAAGUUAGAGGUGAAAGCCCGGGCUCAACUCCGGAACUGCCUUUAAGACUGCAUCGCUAGAAUUGUGGAGAGGUGAGUGGAAUUCCGAGUGUAGAGGUGAAAUUCGUAGAUAUUCGGAAGAACACCAGUGGCGAAGGCGACUCACUGGACACAUAUUGACGCUGAGGUGCGAAAGCGUGGGGGAGCAAACAGG
rnacentral:rRNA from 1 species